UACGUAGGAGGCAAGCGUUGUCCGGAAUUACUGGGUGUAAAGCGCGUGUAGGCGGCAGGCCAAGUCUGUGGUGAAAUCGCUCGGCUCAACUGGGCGGGGUCCAUGGAAACUGGUCAGCUGGAGGACGGUAGAGGUGAGUGGAAUUCCCGGUGUAGUGGUGAAAUGCGUAGAGAUCGGGAGGAACACCCGUGGCGAAGGCGGCUCACUGGGCCGGUCCUGACGCUGAGGCGCGAAAGCGUGGGGAGCGAACAGG
rnacentral:rRNA from 1 species